CUCAGUUUCCUCGCCUGCAAAUCCAGAGCUGGAAACUCCCAUCUGCCUGGGAUUCCAUGUACUGAUGAGUUCAGUGUUGGUGAAAGCAAUGGGUGUCAGUGUGGUAGGAGGGCCUGGGCUGGGCAUCAUCUGCUGAGACAAGGGGAGGCCUGGAUCUGGACCCCAGCUUUAGAGGCCUGGGUCUGACCCUCCCUUCCAUCUUCUUGUUUCAAAAGCUGAACACACUUUUCUCCUUUAUCCAACAGUGAGUACAUCACACACAGCUCUUCCCUUGGCAAUGUACUUUUCACAAGCAUCCAAAGACUCUGGCAUUGACCAGGGUGCCCAUCACAGGAAAGGCUGUGACCUUAGCUCUAGGCAAUGGCUCCUUCCCAUCUCCCUCUCCACCACCCCCAAAAGAAACUCCACCUCCAUCUGAAAACAAACAACUGGUAUAUUUGCAGAGCCGCUGAUGGUGAGCCGGGGCCGCUCAGGAGUAUUGUGCCUUCUCUAUAACGACAUUCAUUACACUGUCUGACAUCAAUACUGCUCCUGGGUUAAUCUGUUUAACUUAAUGAGGCAUUUGUUCUCAGUGAGAAAACUCCUGAAGAAGCAUGUUUGCUCCUGAUGGGCUGAGCCCGUGAAUAGAUUAACACUGGGCUGGAAAAGCCAACCAGGAAAAUGAAUCUAACUGAUCCCUUUUUCUUUUUCAGGUGGGGCUAAGGCUAGGCUAAUCUGUGUUCAGAUGAUCAUUUGUUAGAGAAGGAACAGGCUGAAGUAACUUCUCCCACAAUGGCUUAUUUCCCUCCUCUAGCCUCCAACCCCUGCUUCCACCUCUCAGUUAUGAAAAGGCGUGUGGGGUGGGAAGGAAAUGACCCCAGAACUGAGCAGCAACAAGGACCAGAGUGAGAGCUGGCAGCUCCCAUAUGACAAUUGGACGUCUAUAGCCAGUCUGGUAUGAGCAACUCUACGAGGUUCACUGUCAGAGCCCUCAUGCUCAGCACCUAGUGGGUGCUCAUGGAUGUUUUCUGAAGGUGCAAAGGGGAUGCUCAGCCAUGGCAACCCCACAGCGAGGACAUGUCAGAAAAGUUGAACUGAGUCGCAGACACUGUCUAAUAAAAAUGUCACUGGACUAGAAACCUUGAAUCCUGGUACAGCUGUGUGUUCCUUUGUGUGAAAUGACCGUCUCCUCUCCAUGAGCCACGGAACUCCAUGGCCCCUGCCUUCAGGAUGCCUUCUGAGGAAUAAUGCUCCCGCAAUGCCUUUGGAUUCCAUUCUCUAAUUCUGCCCCCAUAUCGGGAAAGAAACCUGCAGGCUUGGAAAGCUGCUCACUGUCCACUAAUGUCUGCUUUUCAAGUAUUCUGACAUUUCCAUCCUCCCAGGUGAAAGACUCUUUGGGCUCGCUCUGAGAAGUCGCACCUGCAUCUCAUGCCUACCUAUGGACCAUUCAGCUCUUUGUUACACCAAUAACAGCAAAAUAUCUUCGCACGGUGUACAAACAUCCCACAACACAGCCUGCGGUUUCUCCUUGCUGGAAAGGAUUGCAACUAACACAGAAAGACAGUAUUUCUAAAGAGACAUUUUACCUAUCAGACUGUCAGAACAAAGGCCCUCGAGAAACUGAAAUUCCACCAGGAAUCUUAUGCUGAAAUCCCAAACCUGGGCCAGUCACGAUUUUUCUCCAAAACCCUUGUCUGAAGGAAAGAGAUGUACAACCUUACAAAGAUGGUUGUUGACAAUGAUGGCACUGGGACCACAGCUUGACCAAGACUGCUUGGAUGUACACAUCCUUCAUCUCACUCAGGACUCUGAAGACAGACUUAGGAAGCUUCCUGGAUCUCUUUGUCCUCCCUUCCUAAUGUGGCCAAGUUGAAUAAAUCUCAUUUUUUAAAAUUU